AUUGGAGAGAUGACGGUUCUGACAACCAGUCAGAAUACUCUGUAGGCUCGAAGAGGAAGAUGAAGACUUUGAUGAAAUACCUGAAGGACGCCGGCAGUCCAAGCGUCACUUGUAUAGUGAGAGAGACAAGCCUCUUCCUCCAUUGCUGGCCAGAGUUGGAGAGAAUAUUGAGGUUCACAACUGCCUUCACUUGAGCAAAGUGCUCAAUUGGCUUGGCUUCCUAAGGCCUGCAAACUUCUGUAGCUGCCCCCACCAGCCAGGAUCAGGAAAGGAGAAUAUCUGCUUCCCCAAACAAAAAUGCAAUAACUCUGCAGGUAUCACUGCUUAAAUAGUGCCUUAGGCUGUGGGAACCCCACUUUCUGCUGUUUCCUGUAUGUUGUACCAAACAAUGUAUACCUGUCCUUGCCUGCCACUUAAUGCAGAUGAUAUUAAAUGCUUUGUGAUCAAGUGGUCUCUACCAUGUGGGUUUCAACGAUGUCAUGUUCCAGUGUAUAAUGGUGGUAGAUGUAAUUCAGUGUUGAACUUUAGAUACACAAGUUUGACAUCAUUACUUGAUAAAACUUUUGAAGGAUGCUUAAUCACAAUACCAAUGAUAGAAAACAAGCUGGGAAAUAAGACAGAUGUCAAGCAGUGUGGUUUCGCAAAGGAUAGAUCAGCCUUUACUCUAGUGUAGUUGAAUUUUAUGAACCACUAAGUAAAGCCCUUAAUGAAGGUGUUGUAGUAUGCAUUGUCGUCCAUCUUCCCAGGACAUUUCAUAGUAUUCUACAAUAUAGGUAACUACAUAUUCAAAUGGGGUAAACUGUGCUUCUGGAAAGAUAAUAGGCUGUUAUGCUACAAGGACAAUUUUCUAAUUUGUUUCCUGUUGCAUCAGAUGUUCCUUUGGGAUCAGUGUUGAGUCUAGUACUGUUUGAUUUUUUUUUUUUUGAUCCUUUCAACAAAUUCAGAAUACUGAAUAUAAGUA